rnacentral:rRNA from 1 species
CAGGUGAAGCUGAGGACUCUGGCGGAACUGACCGGUGGACAAACCGGAGGAAGGUGGGGAUGACGUCAAGUCAUCAUGGCCCUUAUGUCCAGGGCUACACACGUGCUACAAUGGGUGAGACAGAGUGACGCGAAGCCGCGAGGUGGAGCAAAUCGCAGAAAAUCAUCCGUAGUUCGGAUUGGAGUCUGAAACCCGACUCCAUGAAGGUGGAAUCGCUAGUAAUCGCGCAUCAGCAUGGCGCGGUGAAUACGUUCCCGGGCCUU